rnacentral:rRNA from 1 species
UGGGGAAUCUUAGACAAUGGGGGAAACCCUGAUCUAGCCAUGCCGCGUGAGCGAUGAAGGCCUUAGGGUUGUAAAGCUCUUUCAGCUGGGAAGAUAAUGACGGUACCAGCAGAAGAAGCCCCGGCUAACUCCGUGCCAGCAGCCGCGGUAAUACGGAGGGGGCUAGCGUUGUUCGGAAUUACUGGGCGUAAAGCGCACGUAGGCGGAUUAGUCAGUCAGAGGUGAAAUCCCAGGGCUCAACCCUGGAACUGCCUUUGAUACUGCUAGUCUUGAGGUCGAGAGAGGUGAGUGGAAUUCCGAGUGUAGAGGUGAAAUUCGUAGAUAUUCGGAGGAACACCAGUGGCGAAGGCGGCUCACUGGCUCGAUACUGACGCUGAGGUGCGAAAGCGUGGGGAGCAAAACAGGAUUAGAUACCCUGGUAGUCCACGCCGUAAACGAUGAAUGCCAGUCGUCGGGUUGCAUGCAAUUCGGUGACACACCUAACGGAUUAAGCAUUCCGCCUGGGGAGUACGGUCGCAAGAUUAAAACUCAAAGGAAUUGACGGGGUCAUAGCUGUUUCCUG